rnacentral:rRNA from 1 species
GACGAACGCUGGCGGCGUGCUUAACACAUGCAAGUCGAACGGUACUAAACCGUAGUAAUAUGGUUUAGUAUAGUGGCGGACGGGUGAGUAACGCGUGAGCGACCUACCUUAAAGAGGGGGACAACAUUCGGAAACGGAUGCUAAUACCGCAUAAGACCACGGUGUCGCAUGGCACAGAGGUCAAAGGAGAAAUCCGCUUUAAGAUGGGCUCGCGUCCCAUUAGCUAGUUGGUGAGGUAACGGCCCACCAAGGCGACGAUGGGUAGCCGACCUGAGAGGGUGAUCGGCCACACUGGAACUGAGACACGGUCCAGACUCCUACGGGAGGCAGCAGUGGGGAAUAUUGGGCAAUGGGCGAAAGCCUGACCCAGCAACGCCGCGUGAAUGAAGAAGGUCUUCGGAUUGUAAAGUUCUGUCCUAUGGGACGAAAAAAAUGACGGUACCAUAGGAGGAAGCCCCGGCUAACUACGUG